rnacentral:rRNA from 1 species
UACGGGGGGGGCAAGCGUUGUUCGGAAUUACUGGGCGUAAAGGGCUCGUAGGUGGCCAACUAAGUCAGACGUGAAAUCCCUCAGCUUAACUGGGGAACUGCGUCUGAUACUGGAUGGCUUGAGAUUGGGAGAGGGAUGCGGAAUUCCAGGUGUAGCGGUGAAAUGCGUAGAUAUCCGGAGGAACACCGGUGGCGAAGGCGGCAUCCUGGACCAACACUGACACUGAGGAGCGAAAGCCAGGGGAGCAAACGGG